UCUAUUCCUCUCACCGAUUCUCCCCCGCCCCUCUCUGUCUAACCCUAAUAACUCCGGUGACGUCACCAUCAUUCCUGCCAGUCACCGCCGCCGCCGUCCCUACCCAGCUGAAAAAAACUUGUUUCAGAUAUGACAUUGAAAAAAGAGUUUGCCUAAUUGACUACUUCUUCCAAAUCUCUCCCCCAUUUUGUAAGCUCUCACACUUUCUUCACUUUAUUUUCCCCAUAUCUCACGCCCUUCUCUUCUUCCAAUGCUCUCCACCUUCAUUUUCCAUCUUCUGGGAGCUGGGGAAUAAUUUCCUUAACUAUAGCUUAUUUCUGGCAACUCUAUACUUUAUGGAUCCUUGUUCAGCUGCAUGAAGCAGUUCCCGGGAAGAGAUACAAUAGAUAUGUGGAACUUGCACAAGCAGCUUUUGGUGAAAGACUUGGGGUUUGGCUUGCUCUCUUCCCUACUGUUUACCUAUCUGCAGGGACUGCGACAGCUUUGAUUCUCGUAGGAGGUGAAACCAUGAAGAUGUUCUUUCAAAUUGUUUGUGGUCCGCUCUAUUCAUCGAAUCCUUCAAGUCUUAUCAGUCUAAUGAGUUCUGUUGCAGGCGUUGUUUUAUAGAUAAAUGCAAUUGCAGUGAUCCAUAAAUUUGGUCACAUUGUAUUGACUGAUAUAGAAGAACUGUAAUGUCUAUGUCUUAUUUAUCAUUA